GAUCCUGGCUUAGGAUGAACGCUAGCUACAGGCUUAACACAUGCAAGUCGAGGGGCAGCAUUGGAGUAGCAAUACUCAGAUGGCGACCGGCGCACGGGUGAGUAACACGUAUCCAACCUGCCGCUUACUCGGGGAUAGCCUUUCGAAAGAAAGAUUAAUACCCGAUGGUAUAAAGAGUUCGCAUGUUCUCUUUAUUAAAGAAUUUCGGUAAGCGAUGGGGAUGCGUUCCAUUAGAUUGUUGGCGGGGUAACGGCCCACCAAGUCUACGAUGGAUAGGGGUUCUGAGAGGAAGGUCCCCCCACAUUGGAACUGAGACACGGUCCAAACUCCUACGGGAGGCAGCAGUGAGGAAUAUUGGUCAAUGGACGAGAGUCUGAACCAGCCAAGUAGCGUGAAGGAUGACUGCCCUAUGGGUUGUAAACUUCUUUUAUAAGGGAAUAAAGUGAGGGACGUGUCCCUUUUUGUAUGUACCUUAUGAAUAAGGAUCGGCUAACUCCGUGCCAGCAGCAGC
rnacentral:rRNA from 1 species